UACGUAGGGUGCAAGCGUUGUCCGGAAUUAUUGGGCGUAAAGAGCUCGUAGGCGGUCUGUCGCGUCGGAUGUGAAAAUCCAGGGCUUAACCCUGGGCCUGCAUUCGAUACGGGCAGACUAGAGUUCGGUAGGGGGAGACUGGAAUUCCUGGUGUAGCGGUGAAAUGCGCAGAUAUCAGGAGGAACACCGGUGGCGAAGGCGGGUCUCUAGGCCGACACUGACGCUGAGGAGCGAAAGCGUGGGGGAGCGAACAGG
rnacentral:rRNA from 1 species